ACCCGGAUGGCGAAACCGGUAGACGCGAGGGACUUAAAAUCCCUUAUCCGCGAGGAUGUGCGGGUUCGAGUCCCGCUCCGGGUA
rfam:Gemmatimonas phototrophica strain AP64, complete genome.